rnacentral:lncRNA from 1 species
AGUCUUAUAACUAUUAUAUUUCUGAUUAUCCGAGUCUGAGAGGUAGAGCGAACCCAAAUAGGUGCCUUUGUGGGGCCUUAGGUGUAGGCCUUGAGGCUUCCCAUUAGAGUCCGUUCUUAUACUCAAACCAUCUAGACCGCAGAAUAGAAUGAAUCCAAAUAAGUGCCUUUGUGGGGCCUUAGGUGUAGGCCUUGAGGCUUCCUAUCAGAAUCCAUUCCAUACUUAAGCGUUCUAUGAUAAUCA